rnacentral:rRNA from 1 species
GCAAGAGCUCAAAUUUGAAAUCUAGUAGCCUUCGGCUGCUCGAGUUGUAAUCUAGAGAAGUGUUUUCCGUGCCGGCCCAUGUACAAGUCCCUUGGAACAGGGCGUCAUAGAGGGUGAGAAUCCCGUCCUUGACAUGGACCCCCGGUGCUCUGUGAUACACUUUCAACGAGUCGAGUUGUUUGGGAAUGCAGCUCAAAAUGGGUGGUGAAUUCCAUCUAAAGCUAAAUAUUGGCGAGAGACCGAUAGCGAACAAGUACCGUGAGGGAAAGAUGAAAAGCACUUUGGAAAGAGAGUUAAACAGUACGUGAAAUUGUUGAAAGGGAAACGAUUGAAGUCAGUCAUGCUCUUUGGUAUUUAUAUCAUUGAGUGGGGUCAACAUCAGUUUUGAGCGAUGGAUAAAGGCACUAGGAAGGUAGCACUCUCGGGUGAACUUAUAGCCUAGCGUCAUAUACAUUGUUUGGGACUGAGGAACGCAGCAUGCCUUUAUGGCCGGGAUUCGUCCACGUACAUGCUUAGGAUGUUGACAUAAUGGCUUUAAACGACCCGUCUU